rnacentral:misc_RNA from 1 species
GGUGGAUGGAAAUAAGAUUCAGAUCCCCUAAAGGUAAUAUCCAUGCUCACAAAAUAUUUCCAUGUAGGAGAGUGGUAACACUUAUACCCCUUCUGAGUACUGAAAUAACCAAUAAAGACACUUUAGGGCUCGAGGUUCUAACAUCCUCCUAUUAGGCUGGUGAACAAAGCAAACACAACCAAAUACCUUUGGAGGAACGGUAUAUGAAUUUUGACCCUGCAAAACCUCUAAAAGGACUUUUAAACUCUAAUGUUUGAAGAGGCAUCCUGUUAAUAAGAUGUGCAGCAGAAAGAAUAGCAUCCCCUCACUAAGGUUUAGGAACAUUCAUGGUA